UGGCACGUGUCGUGUUAAAAAUAUAAAAAUAUUUAGCAUUGCAUCUCAAACAUGUGCGAAAUGCUAAUAUAAUAAUAAAUAGACCAAAAUCUUAAGAGGUCUAAAUUACCUUUGAGAAAUUUUUUAAAAAGUCCUCCAGUCGUGGAGUGAUUUAAAAGGUUUUAAAGGUAAUUUGGUCAAGGAAACUUAACACGUGUGAACUUAAAUAUAUGUAACCUUUUUUUAGGAGAACCUCGCAUGCAAUUGAUCAGAUAUAUGAAUAUCAUUAAGUAAAUUGAGAAUGGUGUCUUUUUUA
rnacentral:lncRNA from 1 species